CAGUUUGGAGACAAACUGCUUUUAAGUGUUUUUCACUCAGAAUGAUUUAAAAUGCUUUUAAAUUCUGUUUUUAAAGCACCUUUUUUUAAAUGCAGAUGUUUAAUGUUUUACUGAUUUUAAUCUUGUUUUAAAUAUUCUACACAAACUGGUCCUCUGACUCUCAAAGUGCUUUCAGUAAGAGUUUAAUUUAGAUUUGAGUUUUUUUGGAGCAUGCGUUCACAGUCGCACCACACCAGGCUCCGCCCUCACGGUUACAGUCACUGAUGGUUUUCAGUGAUUCUGCAGAAUGACCUGUUUUGGAGUCUACCAGUCUUUGACA